AGUACGAAGGGUUCGUUAUUACCUAAGCAAAACCUAACCAACCAGUCGAUGCGUCAGCAUUUAGGUGCCACUAUAUCAGCCAUACCACGACUUGUAACGGGUGUAGUCGGUAGUAACACGCUUAUUGCGGUUUUCGGGUUGUUUGUCGAACACGGUGAUAAAUAAUAACCAUCUCGAGGCGCGCUCUUGCAACAGUUAAUCUCCACAGUUGGAUAACCGUGUUUGCCUCCCGAGAGGCCACGUUGUUUACCAGACACCCGCCUAAAUUACCCGCUACGUUCGCUAUCGCGAGAACUCACCGCGCUUGAUAAGUUUCUUUAUUGCCCUGUCGCGGCCUCUUCCCGAAAAAGGAAACACGCGUUAUUCACGCGCGUUUGUUUCGCGCCAGAAGCACUUUGCGCCGCGUGUGUGUCGUUUAAGAUACCAAAACGAUCGAGCUGAGGAAAACAACAGGGUUGGAAGAUGCCGACAAAACCAUCCAACGGCCGAUGAAAAACAACGACCGCUUCCGUCAUUCACCGGACCUCUAUUUUCCUCCACCGAGGAAAAAAUCUGCUCGGCGACGCGCACGGAAACGUUCCAUUUCCAGAGUGGUUUUCGCCCUGACGAGUAUUUCCUAUCGAGCAACGCGGGGGACACAUCGUCCGAUAAUGCUAUGGAAUUUUAGUUUAUUUUUGUAGAAUUUUAGAUACAAUCACUACUUGGAGCUUUAUAGAAAUUUAUUGGACGCAAAAAUGGACCGGAUUUCGUUUGACAGAAAGAUGCCUCGAACGCAAAGGGUUAAUUUAUGAAUUAGGUUAACUAGGUAUUUUUCUUGCGCUUUCUUUUAAGAAAAGAUACGUGUGUCUAUGUCGGUGACUAUAUAAAAAAACACAAUUUAAAAAAUCAAAAUUGUAUAUAACGCGUAGUAAGUAUAACAACUAAACGAUUCUUCUUUAAGUCUUAUUUUUGGGCGGGAGGAAGUGAUUCACUGAAGGACCUGAAUUUUAAAAUGGAAAUUUUGUAUAAUAAAGGAACCCAUGAGAAAUAAAGAAAAAUGUUGUACAAUAACGAUAAAGGCGUAUAAUAAUGAAUAUUAUUAUUAUCUGGCUACUUAAGAAUAUGAAUUUCAAAAAUAAAAUUUCUGCACAAUAAGUGAACCUAUAAAAAAUAAAGAAAAAUUGCAUACAAUAACGAUAAAGGCGUAGAAUAAUGAUGAUUGUUAUUAUCCGGAUUUUGGUUCUAAAUGAAAUAGUAAUGUUACAUGUGCGUCGUAUUACAAGAUAAAAUUGCGCGUCUCUAACGUUCCCACGUGAAAUCUAACAGGAAGUUUCGUUGAUCAAGACUCAAAGACUCAAUGAAUAUUGCGAAUUGUCCACUUAUCCUCAGAC